CAACACUUGUUGUUUUUUCAGACCAUUUUUAACAAAUGCUUUCAGAAAGCGACAUGUCCCAGUGUGAAGGACACAAAAGUUCUCUCUUUGCAGUUUUCAUAUGAGGCAGGUCUAGACCAAACUCUUUUCCAUAGAUUAUUUACCCAACAAUUCCCAAGAUAAUAAUCAUUUAAUAUUCAGUUUGAAUUGAUUCCCCUGAUUGUCAAAUCAAAACAAAGAUGGCAGCCGGAAGUGACACAACUUCGCGUAGGAAGCGAGAAAGUGACGAAGGUUUGAAUGAAAAUAAGUGUUAACAGACAGAAAGAUUAACACAGAAACACGAAGAACUAAAUAUGUAAAUGACAAAGCUAACGAGCGCCGAGCAGUUUGUACCGGCUGAACUGAACCGGGCCGCUAAACGUCCAUCUCACGGAGGGUUCGGUGUCCCCGCCGGAUGGGCUGUGAUUUUCACUCUGCGUCUUCCCGAGCUGCAGGCCUGGACUUGAAUCACCGUGUCGGAGAAGAGGAACAAAGACUGUCCUCCCGGCGAGCACGGUCAGUUUAAUGCUGCAUAAUGAGAAGCAGCCUGCAAUUAUCCACCCUGGAGGACCAUCUGCAUAAAGAGCUGUUUGGUGGAUCUGAUAGAGCCUCGCAUGCUUCAGCGGGGGAGAGAGAGAGAGCGAGCGAGCUGUGGGUGGAGCUGUCCGAGGCUGCAGCCUGAUCCUCUCUCUGAACACAUUUCUGCCUGCCUCUCCCUGUUGAGCUGCUUCUCUCUGCACUCCGCUGCUGUCAGGGCUUUCCGUCGUGUCUGUCGGUCCUGGUCUUUGUGGUCGCUGUUGGAUUACUUUAGUUCUGACGGGGCUGAGUGGGAGUCGGACUCCGGUCUCUGAGGAACCAGAGCCCCUGUUCUCCCCGGUCUCUGAGCUGAAGCUGGUCUCCAGGCGGCGUCUCUGGAUCCAGUUCCUCUCAGGCAGAGCACAAACAAAGCUUCUGUUCCUCCGGGGAACGGGACGGACGACCUGACACGAGGCUGAUCAGAACCGGUGGCGUUCGUAUUCUGAGUGACGGAGCGGCAGGAGCAUGCUUUUUUUUUUGUUUAGAGCUAGGUUAGCAGGUCCAGUCUUGGCAGUAGCGUUAUAGCGUCCACUGUGGGGACUUCUGCCACUGAGCCAGCUGACUUCCUGUUUAGCUCUCCGCUUACUUGAAUGGGGUAAAAUAACGACCCUGCGGCUCUUCUAGACUUUCCAAAUGUUACCGAAUGGAUCAAACUCUGAUAGUGAAACAUGGCACGAGAGUUGUGACACUCAAAAAAAUGGACCCACCGUGUUACAGCGGCUUCUUUCACAGUGUACGUCUGUGGGCAAACGUCAGUUAAAUUGACUUCAGAGCACUUCCUGUAGGCCAGGAGGAAAUGUGACGCUACCAAGCCGACCAAUCACAGCUCCUGUGGUCUGCGCAACAAGUAGGUACAUUUUUGGGGAGGUGCGCGUCGGUCUACGGCGUAGAUUUGAAGCAGAAGUAUAAACCGGGCUUUAACUUGUUCACCUCGACGAGAGCUGCCCCUGAUGUCGUUGACCUUUGACCUCUUGGUACGAGAGGCUCUGCAGAAGAACAGACCGCUUCUGUAGAGUGGGGCAGGUGAUUUCCCCCGCCUCCUCCCGCCAAAGUCAACAGCAAAGGUCAAAGGUCACCAGAGCUUUAGGAGCGUCUGCGGCCGAUGUGAUGAAUUCGUCGCCCAGGUGUGAAGGAUAGAACUGACCUGGGGUCUGUGGAGGUUACCGGAGACCUCAGACCCGACAGGAACUUGUGUCUGCAGUGACCUCUGACCUCCUGCUGCUGGUGAAGCUGAACGUCUCUCUGGAUCAGCGAUUCAGGCCCCGUGUGUUGCCGUUCGUUAGAGGGCUGGGCGAAACGGACCAUAAAACAUUUCAUUUCAGGCUAUUUCCAUAAUUAUCAGGAUAAAUGUCAGAUCAUUAUUUCUUCAGUUUAAAGCUCCUGAGUGAAAGUGUGGUUUUAAACUUUUCACUUGAACAAAUCUGAGGCAGAACAUUCAGAACUGUUCUGAUAAAAUCUGUUGUAACAAAUAUGCACAAGGAAAAUUAAGUAAAAUCUGUUUAUCACCUAAUUAUCGGUACGUUACCAUGACAGCAGCGGUGCAGAAAUGACUCUGGCCAUGACUGACAGGUGGGAUUGAACCUGAGGAGAAGUUGUUUUAAUGCAAACAGGGUGUGAAGAACCGUCUGCUCGGCGUUGUGUAUCUGGACGAGUAGGCGGCGGCGCACUGAACAUCAUGUGGCAGGUAAACCAUAUGGACACUGAUGGAAACGCAGGGAGACAGAAGUGUUGGAACAGGAUGUAGGUUAAUACCUUUUGUGUCGCAGUGGACACAUUCAUCUGCUCUGUCCAUCAGAGAAACUUCAUUAUGUGCCGACGCAGCUGUCUGUUGUUGUGCAGAGCGCCAUUUGUCAGCUCGCAGAAGGUCGGGGUCACCGUUAAUAGGUCUGUAUCAGAGAGCGUGGUCCUGAACACAGCGUCAUGGACAUGUGUUGGAGCAGGACAGCCACUUACAGCUCGCAUCAUUCAUUCAGCAGCACAUUCAGUCGUCCCAUUAAUGAUUCUCUGGUUGCACUUUUUCCAGUGUGAGGAUCUGAUUCGCUCUCUCAUAUCGUUUAAUUCAAUAUAUUUGGGGGUGGCUCAGUGGAUAAGACCCAUGCAUUUGGUGUGAGAAACACGGGUUCAAUCCCCCACUGUGACCCAUACACCAACUUGUCCCUGAGGAAGACACUUAACCCCUCGUUGCUCCACAGGCGUGUGACCUCUGACAUCUACAGCAGCUGUAAGUCGCUUUGGAUAAAAGCAAAAUGUUUAACAGUUUAAAGGCCUGAAUCUCUUCUCUCUUUAUACUAAAUGAUAACUCAGCAAAUAGAAAAGACUCAGUGGAUGUGAGUAAGCGUUGGUUCCUCUGGAGACAGGAGACCAAAGCAACAUGUCCGUGCUUCAUUAGCGUUCAGAGGACUAAAAAGCUUCCUGUCCUCUGCUGGCAGCAAGACGUGCAGGCGUCAGGCGUUUGGUCGGGGUCCGAUCACCAGCUCCUGUUUGACCCGUUCACGUUGUCUGGUCUAAUCUGCUGAAAGCUUCCUACUGCAAACAUUCAGUGUGCCAGCCUGGGACCAGCAGGUGUGUUCAGGUAACACUGACACUAAUAUAAUGAAAGAACACAGAACAUGCAGUCUGGCUGUCGCACAGCUGGAUCUAAACACGCUAACUGCUGAAACAAACCUCAAGCUCAGGAGCUCUGUGAGCUGUUCCUUUGUUGCCAGCCCGAUAAUGUUGGCUAGAGCCGAGUUCACACUACACGAUUUUUAUCCGCCGAGCUCGGUGACCGUCAGGCUGUGAUCUGGGGUAAAUCAUUGAUCAAUCACACAUAAUAACAAACAGCUGUUUUCUCUGUAGGUUCGCCUCAUUUAUUUGUUUAUAAUAUCAUACAGUAGCUGACUAAUGAACUGAGCCCUAUAAAUUACACUUGCUAAUGAAUUCAUUCAUUAGUUAUUGACUUUUCAGACCUGGAACACCUGCAACAGCUGCUUUCACCUGUCUGUUAACGUGACAGCCUUAGGUGUGGAGCUGAACCGAUCGAUCAGUCGGUCACUAUAUUGAAAGGCUGCGGUGGGCGGCGGCUGAGAAACCAGCAGGAGACGGCUUCACUCUGAAACCCCUCGUGAUGCAGCAGGGACCGUCUGAGCUACAGAGAGGAGCUGCCUGCUCUCAUUGGCCGAUGGCUCCAGAUAUUUAGCGUGCUGUCUGGCGUUGGGCGUCAGCGAGAGGUUCGGAUGCGUCGUUGAGUAGUUCACACAUAACGAAUGGCGAGCGUCGACCACAGAAUCGGGCCUAAAACCAUGUCGUGUGAACUCUGCUUCAGCUGCAGCCAGAUGAUGCGACAUCAUCAUCUCCGGGUUUCCUCAGGGUCUGACUGCACCCCCGACCCCGAGUUUGUCUCCAGCUGUUCAGAUCCAGCUCAGUCCAGGUCCCUGUUCUCAGUGAGCAUGUGGAACCUGUUAGUGCCGUAAUGGAUUCAACAGAAGGCUCCAGAGAGUAGUCGGAUCCUUCCCACUGUUGGAGCUUUGAUUCUGAUUAUUCUCUGCUCAGUCCAGAAGUGAUCACUACCUGCAGCUGACAGAAAACCUCCCAGGGCCAGGACGGUCCUGGUACUCAUUGAUUACUAUUUGAAAAAGUCACAUUUUUAUUGCUAUUUCAUUUUAAUUUUACACUUUAAGUUCAAUUCAGCUUUAUUGGCAUGAA